rnacentral:piRNA from 1 species
UGCCAAUGAGUGACUAGCUAAAGGUGCUCA